rnacentral:rRNA from 1 species
UACGGAGGAUGCGAGCGUUAUCCGGAUUUAUUGGGUUUAAAGGGUGCGCAGGCGGCACGGCAAGCCGGCGGUCAAAUCGCGGGGCUCAACCCCGCCCAGCCGUCGGAACUGCCGGGCUAGAGUGGGCGAGAAGUGCGCGGAAUGCGUGGUGUAGCGGUGAAAUGCAUAGACAUCACGCAGAACUCCGAUUGCGAAGGCAGCGCACCGGCGCCCUACUGACGCUCAGGCACGAAAGCGUGGGUAUCGAACAGG